GGCUGCAGGCCUAACACAUGCAAGUCGAACGGUAACAGGAAGCAGCUUGCUGCUUCGUUGACGAGUGGCGUACGGGUGAGUAAUGUCUGGGAAACUGCCUGAUGGAGGGGGAUAACUACUGGAAACGGUAGCUAAUACCGCAUAACGUCGCAAGACCAAAGAGGGGGACCUUCGGGCCUCUUGCCAUCGGAUGUGCCCAGAUGGCAUUAGCUAGUAGGGGGUGUAAGGGCUCGCCGAGGCGACGAUUGCUAGCAGGUCUGAUAGUAUGACCAGACACACUGGAACUGAGACUG
rnacentral:rRNA from 1 species